AUCCCAACCAUCGACGGAGGACAUACCGCCCAAAAUCCUUAGCCAAGGAGGGUAAAAAAAGAAAGAAAAAUCCAUUGACCAAAAAAAAAGGAGAGGAAGAAAUUCCCACAAUGGCCGCCCCCCGCUCAACUUCCUUACGCGCUCUUCGUCUCCUAGCUGCCCAGCAACAUACACCACUCCCCUCUUCAGCCCUCGCCUCCGUGGCGCCCUUCCGCCGCUCGCUACACAUCACUGGUGCAUUCUCCGCCCAGCCCGCUCGCGGACCCGACGUAGCCGCCAUCUACCGCUCCCGCGGCCUGGGGGAUCUACGCGCGGAAUGCGAGAGAAGGAACCUUAGGAGUGCGGGGAGUAAGGCGGAGCUCGUGGAUCGCCUGGCAAACCAUGACAUUCUCCAAUCUCGCGCAUUCAGCAUUGCGAUGAGGAAGAUCGAUAACCACUUUCUGGAGACAGGGAGCUCAUCCCGCACCUUCAACACCUCCCGCGCCCAAAAAUCCGUCAACGACUCCUCAACCGUCGACUUCGUCUACAUGCCCCAGGACAUCGACGCCUUCCCCUCCGCCUCCGCCAUCGCCGGCACCCCAAUGCCCACCCCGCCAGACGCCUACGCCCACUACCAGCUCACAAACGGCACCGGCUCCACCCCGGGCCCUAUGAAACCCCAAAUCUACACCGUCUCCGGCGACUACGACGCCCCAUCGUCGAGUAGCAGUAGCCGUAUUAUGGGCGUUGCUGCUGGCGGCGCUGGCGGUGGUGGUGGAGCAAGCGCUAUGAGCGAGGUCGUCGAUAACCAAACCGUGGAGUUCGAUCCGUUUGAGCUGACGGAGACGGUGAGGCGGGCGCGGGAGGGGGCUGCUGUGGCGGAGCAGGCGGCGAUGGCGGAUGGGACGGUUAAGGGGGUCGCGAGGCAGUUUUGGGAGG
rnacentral:sRNA from 1 species